UCGCCCACAAUCUGUUCAAACGGUUUCAACACGGGUGAAGUCGGAUGCGUUGUGAAAGUGACAGCGCGUUUCGGUAGUCGGCAUUGGUCGACGCUCUUAACAGGGGCAUCCGUGUUGGGAUCGUUCUUCGGUUUUGAAAGCGAAAUCGAAGCUUUCCCACAGUUGGUCUCCUCGCGCUAACCCCGUAGCGUGUGGUUUUUAGCGGGCUCCAGGCCCGCUUUUUUUU
rnacentral:ncRNA from 1 species